CCUACGGGAGGCAGCAGUAAGGAAUCUUCCACAAUGGACGAAAGUCUGAUGGGGCAACGCCGCGUGCAGGAUGAAGGCUUUCGGGUCGUAAACUGCUUUUAUAUGGGAAGAUUAUGACGGUACCAUAUGAAUAAGGACCGGCUAACUACGUGCCAGCAGCCGCGGUAAUACGUAGGGUCCAAGCGAUAUCCGGAAUUACUGGGCGUAAAGCGUGUGUAGGUGGAUUAAUAAGUGUGAUGCGAAAUCCGGCGGCUCAACCGUUUGGACUGUGUCGCAUACUGUUAGUCUAGAGGACGGCAGAGGUAAGUGGAAUUACGGGUGUAGCAGUGAAAUGCGUAGAUAUCCGUAGGAACACCAAUGGCGAAGGCAGCUUACUGGGCCACACCUGACACUGAGACACGAAAGCGUGGGGAGCGAACAGGAUUAGAUACCCUGGUAGUCCACGCCGUAAGCGAUGCAUACUAUUAGUAUGGGGUAUCGACCCCCUGUGCUGAGAAGCUAACGCGAUAAGUAUGCCGCCUGGGGGAGGUAGAGCGCGAGAACGUUAAACUACGAAAGAAGUAGUUAGGCGUGAGAGNGCCGACGGACGACGACGAGGGAGGAGG
rnacentral:rRNA from 1 species